rnacentral:piRNA from 1 species
UAAACCCUUUUGUUUCAUCCAUGUUCCC